GCUAUGGUGCCCUAGUGGUUAGAGGGUCUGCCUCUGAUGCGGGAGGUCCUGGGUUUGAUCCCCGGGCAAGUCAUACCA